rnacentral:rRNA from 1 species
UCGAGGAUCAUUCGCAAUGGGGGCAACCCUGACGAUGCGACGCUGCGUGGAGGACGACGGCCUUCGGGUUGUAAACUCCUGUCAUGAGGGAAGAGGGGAGGGCGAGUAAUACUCGCGCCGACUUGACGGUACCUCAAGAGGAAGCCACGGCUAACUCUGUGCCAGCAGCCGCGGUAAUACAGAGGUGGCGAGCGUUGUUCGGAUUUACUGGGCGUAAAGGGCGCGUAGGCGGCCGUGUGUGUCGGGUGUGAAAUCUCUGGGCUCAACCCAGAAAGUGCGCCCGAAACUGCACGGCUCGAGUUCGGGAGGGGGGAUCGGAAUGCAGGGUGUAGCGGUGAAAUGCGUUGAUAUCCUGCAGAACACCGGUGGCGAAGGCGGAUCCCUGGAACGAAACUGACGCUGAGGCGCGAAAGCAGGGGGAGCAAACAGG